CUGUUUCUCUGUCCCAGUGUCCACCGUUCCCGCAGGAUGACUCCAGCUGGUCUCUUUGGUCUUCCCAUUUGUCUCCAAUAGAAGUCCGAGGAAGCUAAGCCAUGUGUGGUAAGAAAUGCCUGUAGUUCCAGCCCUUGGGAGUUCGAGACCAGCCUGGGCUAUAGCGACCCUGCCCCUAAACAGGCAGAGAGAAGCCGAAUAGCAGUUCCUUUUGUAGACCCCGGGAAAGGCCCUUUACAGAUAGGGGAAAAGGGCAGAGAGGGCGGUCCAGGCCUAGCUCUGAGAUCACAGGUAGACAGUUAGCUUUUGUAGGAAUCACCAGUUGUGGGCUUUGAAUGGUGCAAAACGUGCCUGCUGCUGCCUGCCAGCUUCUUGCACACAAGGGUGGAAGAAAAGAGGUCUUCCUGGGACCCACUGUGGGCAGGAAGGUCAGUGUUGAGUUCACUGAGGGUGUAGAGGGUAUGUCUCAGACUCUGAUCGCUCUCCAGGGCUGUCUGCCUGGAGAGAGAGUCAACAUUUUUAUCUGGUCUGCAUUGGAUCUGCAUGUUCCCCUGGCAAACACAAACAUGAAUUCUGAAGUUCAGGCUGACGGCCAGCUUCCAAGACUUGGCUGUCCAUUCUGACCACUGAGGAGGGACUCUGGAGGAGCUACCACACAGGAGGUGCCCCCUAACCAGGAGGGGACAACCUUCCAAAUAGAUGCUUUUCUAGGCCCACUCUCACCCAGCCAGAAACACGAGAGUCACAGAUGAGUGUAAUGCUUCUAUUUGGUCAGCUAGCACCCGUAGCAUCUGCACAGGGUAUCACGCUGCAUGACAACUCAGCAGCCCUGCAGAAGCACGUGGAGCUGACAUGUCUUCUAGUCUCCCAGCUCCACCACCCUUCCUUUUGGUGGUCCUGCAGUGCCUGCCUGCACACAGUUGGCAGUCAGGUUGGGGAGCAUUACACAGCCGGAGACAGAAGACACCACAAGGCAAACUGAAACCAGUGGUCACUGAGCGGCAGGUAUGGGAACUGCCUAGCUUUUUAGUCCAGGAGUCAGAGCCAGAUGCGGCCAAACUAGUAAAAAUAAUCUUACUGACAGAAUUCAAGUAUAAUUUUUUUUCUGUUGAUGAACAAUACCUAACUUCAUCUGAGAAGCCCCUAUAUUGAACUGAAAACAGCAAACCUGGUAUCUGGCCUAACCUCUCUCUUACCAACCUCGGGCCUGAUCUUUGCCUAGCGGUCUUCCCUCUGGGAGCACCUGCUCUGUCUGGAAUAGAGAGCCGAGGGUGUGAGCUGCUGCGUGCCUAGGGCUCUGCACACCCUUCUUAUUACUUGUAUACAGGACAGUCAGCUGAUAAAGUGACCAAAGUUCUUGCUGCGUUUUACUUACUCGAUGGUCAGAAGGAGGCAGUGCACGGAAGAGGCCCCAGGCAGGAUCAAUGCUCUGGGUUUUGAAGGUCAUUUGCAAGUGUCCUGUGCUGGGGUUCUUGGCUUCUCAUCACAGUCCCUUGCUGCAGAAUGUGUGUGCCAAAGCCAUCGCCAUCCCCUGGGCAUGCCGGGCAGAGAUUGCACUGACUGAGAUCAUGGUGGCUCUUCACCACGGGCACCUCUGAAGUUUAGGUUCUUUCUAUACUUACACAAUCUACCCUCUCACAACGCUGCUAGUAAUUUGAACACUCUUGAGAGGGGGCCAAGUGUUAGGCCUGUAGACCCUUCUCCUGCAGUAACAAUGCCCACGCAAAGGCCUACACAGGUGCUUUAGCAAACAUGCUGUGUUCUGCUGGAAAUAGCCUUGUUAGCUUUCUGGUUCACGGUGACCCUAAGCGAUACCCACACUAAGUACUCAGUAACAUCAGCUUCACAAAUGACUCCUGUGAUCAGAUGUCCAGCCCAGUGUGGAGCAUGAGGCCAGGCCAGCCAAAGCAAGACAACAAGGUAUAAAUAUACUGCCUUGAGGGCCUGGGGCAGCUUCUGUGGGGUACUGGCUAUCCCCCUCUUGUCCUCACUUCCCAACAAAGGUGCUGAUUUAGGCUCUCCCUCAAAACUCAUACCUGAACUCCCUGUGUAUGUUGUAGACUGGACACCCCUGCCCAACUAACGUGUAUUCUAACCACAAACCCCAACAGAAGCCUAGUCUCAGGAAGGUUUGAGUAGCCCUUGUUGGAGCUGGGGUGCUAGGCAACUUUCCAGGUGCCCCCAACAAUUUGGAGUAUAGAUUCCAUCAUAGCUUUGCUGGGCACAGCUGUAUCUCUGCCCACUGGGCUUCACUGUGAGGGUCGUAUGUGUCUGCAGAUUCCCC
rnacentral:lncRNA from 1 species